ensembl:misc_RNA Metazoa_SRP Metazoan signal recognition particle RNA
GCCGAGCGUGGUGGCGUGUGCUUGUAAUCCCAGCUACUUAGGAGGCUGAGGCAGGAGAAUCACUUGAACCCAGGAGGUGGAGCUUGCAGUAAGCCAGGAUCAUACCACUGAACUCCAGCCUGGGUGACAGAGUGAGACUCAGUCUCAA